ensembl:lncRNA
UGUGUGUGUGUGUGUGUGUGUGUGCGUGUCUCUGUGUGUCUGUGUGUGUGUGUGUCUCUGUGUGUGUGUGUGUGUGUGUGUGUCUGUGUGUCUCUGUGUGUGUGUCUGUGUGUGUGUGUGUGUGUGUGUGUGUCUGUGUGUGUGUGUGUCUGUGUGUGUGUCUCUCUCUCUCUGUGUGUGUGUGUGCGUUACUGUGUACUAUUGGACACAUCAUAGGUUACUGUGUACUAUUGGACACAUCACAGGUUACUGUGUACUAUUGGACACAUCAUAGGUUACUGUGUACUAUUGGACACAUCAUAGGUUACUAUGUACUAUUGGACACAUCACAGGUUACUGUGUACUAUUGGACACAUCAUAGGUUACUAUGUACUAUUGGAC